rnacentral:tRNA from 1 species
GGGGUUGUAGCUCAGUGGUAGAGCACUUGCCUAGCAUGUAUGAUACGCUGGGUUCAAUUCUCAGCACCA